CAGGGAGACAACAAAAUGUUUAAUAUUAUUUUGUCACCUUAGGUCGAUCGGUAUCUCACGUUCUUAAUUCAUUAAGAAUUUCAUUUCCUAAGUUUUUCUAGGUCACACCCAUCAUUUUUCCUGGGCCAUUAGCUCAGGUGGUUAGAGCGCACCCCUGAUAAGGGUGAGGUCCCUGGUUCAAGUCCAGGAUGGCCCAUAUCUCUAUGUUGGGGGUAUAGCUCAGUUGGUAGAGCGCCUGCUUUGCAAGCAGGAUGUCAGCGGUUCGAGUCCGCUUACCUCCACUGAUUACCACCUCUUCCAUAAUUUUUAGUAGGAAAAAUUUUUUGAGUUGUGAUCCUAUUUCUGAACGAAUCUAGCUUCCUAAUGAAAUCAUUAAGAUGCUGGACUCAUUGAAUUAAUUUCAUUGUUUUCAGAGAACCUUGACAACUGCAUAGAUUAUUUUUAAAGACAAUAAGCAUCUUUAAUGAUGCAGAUUUAUUAUUUGUGCAAAUGCAUUAAUAACAAUUCUAUUAAGCUGAUGCUUCA
rnacentral:tRNA from 1 species